rnacentral:rRNA from 1 species
UACAGAGGGUGCAAGCGUUAAUCGGAAUUAUUGGGCGUAAAGGGCACGUAGGUGGCUACUUAAGUCUGAUGUGAAAGCCCUGGGCUUAACCUGGGAAUUGCGUUGGAAACUGAGUAGCUAGAGUCGGAGAGAGGGCCGUGGAAUUUCCGGUGUAGCAGUGAAAUGCGUAGAGAUCGGAAAGAACACCCGUGGCGAAGGCGGCGGCCUGGCUCCAGACUGACACUGAGGUGCGAAAGCAUGGGGAGCAAACAGG